UUUUAUUAGUUAGGUUCGCUUGGAUGAUUUUUUUUUUUUUCCCCAGCUGAUGGUGUUAAGUCUUGCUGAGUUACGAAAAUCACAAAAAUAUUCGAAAAUGUCAAUAAUAUUCGUAGUCCAAAUUGGGCGAUGAAGCGUUUUAAACGUCCCUAGUGCGAGAAUUAAACAGAAUGAAAGAAACCGUCAUGUAAAACACCACAAUGCUGCAUAGAACGAUGGCGACAGACCUGGCGCCUUACCACAUCAACCUGAGCUCUGUACUUUUCUUUCAUCAAUGCGACGCUCACAAACUCACUUGGCGCCACAUGACCACGCUGCUGUGGUGCAAAUAUCGGUUAAUCAAUCAAAUAAUAGACUCAUACACAUGUCCUCCCACCGCCUCAAGGAAGGUAACUCAAACAGGUGCACAAGAACGAUUUAACGUCAACAACAAUCAACUUUAAAUGGAUGGAAAUACUUGGACUGCUGAUGGCAGGGAUGCGGGUGCCAGCAGGGGCGCGCGGGGCACAGUGCCGGGAGAGGGUCGUCCUGCUGGCCCGACCCGACAAGAGUCAGACUGGCUAGUGCCAUCUCAAACCCGACAGGAGCAACACGUACGCCGCUUCGCUCCGCCGCGACAAGUCGCUCCGCACGCAAACUUUUUCAUUCCCAUGCUGGAGGCGAGGCGGCCACUUCGCCUCCUUACCGCCCAACCUGACGCCCCGACGCUCAUCGCCUGCUGCUGAAGAUGACUGAUUACCUGAACAUUUGAAUCCUUUGAGAUGUAUCGCGUGCCGUACGAGGUGCUGUGGUGCCAGUGCCAGGGCAACGCCAGCGCCAUCCCCCACCAGCAACUCAUGCACGAGCAAGUGUCGCGGAUGCACGAGGUGGCGCAGCAGCACGCCGUGUGGUACGUGGGCGUGGUGCUCGCUCUCUACUUCAUCGGCCUGGUGCUCAUCAUCACCAAGUCCGGCAGGUCAGAGAGACACACCGCCAUGUCCGCCCUGUCCUUCUGCUGCUCUCAGGCGGUGUCCUCCAUAGCACGCCGUAGGGCACGCACGUGAAGCUGCCGGGAGGGCCAGGCUUGCUCCCCUGUGGUCCUGCGACACUGUUGGGCGGCGAUGGGCAGGAGGGACGCUGGUGGUCUGUUUUCAGCCUGUUUGGCGCGUGAAGCCACACCACUCUGGCUUCACUCCUUCCUCUGUGCCUCGCUGGCGAAAGUGACAAACAACUUUUUAUUCUCUUCUACUCAGUAACUUUUCCCGGUGAAGGUGUUCACGUUUUACGCAUCGUUUCCCUCUCAGCUUUCUUUUGACUUUGCAUUUCCAUCGAGUCUGUAUCACUAUUACCUUAUAGGCAACUUUUUAUAUUUCUAUGAAAACCCAAACUUUUUUUCCUUCUGUCCCAGUGAUGACGUCAAUCAAUAGUCAAUCCAUUCCACUUCCUUUCUCUUCACUUUAUUUUCAGUUUUCUCUUUCGGGGUCCUCACCUCACUCAUCAUCCCAGCUCUGUCCUGGCGUGCCCCGAGGGAGGCGCCCCCACAAUUCCUGGCGCGCGCACACGCACACACACACACACACACACACACACACACACACACACAGGCGCGCGUCGCAGUGUCCUGAUGGCGUGAUUCACACACUCCACGUCCCGCGGGCUGCACUGACGCCCGUCUUUGCCCAGAGGAAGUCUUUGUAUUUUUAAGGAAUCAGAUUGUAUAUUGUGCGACUUUCUUAUUGUUGUGAAUUCCUCGGUAGCGACAAGGACUCGCAUACCGACAUAUGUGUCUAUAUAUAUUUUUCUGCCGUGACAACUGGAGGAUAUAAAGCUUUCAUAUUUCG